rnacentral:tRNA from 1 species
AUUUAAAUAGCUUAAGAAGAGCAUAAUAUUGAAGUUAUUAGGGUAAUUGUAAAAUUUUUAAGUA